GUGGGGAAUCUUCCGCAAUGGACGAAAGUCUGACGGAGCGACGCCGCGUGAGUGAAGAAGGCCUUCGGGUCGUAAAGCUCUGUCAUCAGGGACGAACGGCCGGUGGAGUGGAAAGCCACCGGAUUGACGGUACCUGAGAAGGAAGCCACGGCUAACUACGUGCCAGCAGCCGCGGUAAUACGUAGGUGGCAAGCGUUGUCCGGAAUUAUUGGGCGUAAAGCGCGCGCAGGUGGGAUCUUAAGUCCAUUUUUAAAGUUCGGAGCUCAACUCCGUGAUGGGAUGGAAACUGGGAUUCUUGAGUACCGGAGAGGAAAGCGGAAUUCCCCGUGUAGCGGUGAAAUGCGUAGAUAUGGGGAGGAACACCAGUGGCGAAGGCGGCUUUCUGGACGGUGUCUGACACUCAGGCGCGAAAGCCAGGGGAGCGAACGGGAUUAGAAACCCGGGUAGUCC
rnacentral:rRNA from 1 species